rnacentral:rRNA from 1 species
UACGUAGGGUGCGAGCGUUAAUCGGGAUUACUGGGCGUAAAGCGUGCGCAGGCGGUUUUUUCAAGACCGAUGUGAAAUCCCCCGGGCUUAACCUGGGAAUGGCAUUGGUGACUGGAAGGCUAGAGUGUGUCAGAGGGGGGUAGAAUUCCACGUGUAGCAGUGAAAUGCGUAGAGAUGUGGAGGAAUACCGAUGGCGAAGGCAGCCCCCCUGGGAUAACACUGACGCUCAUGCACGAAAGCGUGGGGAGCAAACAGG